rnacentral:rRNA from 1 species
UCCAGACUCCUACGGGAGGCAGCAGUGGGGAAUAUUGCACAAUGGGGGAAACCCUGAUGCAGCGACGCCGCGUGAGUGAAGAAGUCAUUCGUGAUGUAAAGCUCUAUCAGCAGGGAAGAAAAUGACGGUACCUGACCAAGAAGCCCCGGCUAACUACGUGCCAGCAGCCGCGGUAAUACGUAGGGGGCAAGCGUUAUCCGGAUUUACUGGGUGUAAAGGGAGCGUAGACGGUUGCGCAAGUCUGGAGUGAAAGGCGGGGGCCCAACCCCCGGACUGCUCUGGAAACUGUGUAACUGGAGUGCAGGAGAGGUAAGUGGAAUUCCUAGUGUAGCGGUGAAAUGCGUAGAUAUUAGGAGGAACACCAGUGGCGAAGGCGGCCUGCUGGACGAUGACUGGCGUUGAGGCUCGAAAGCGUGGGGAGCAAACAGGAUUAGAUACCCUAGUA